CCCCAGGGAGCGCGCUGUCCCCGGGGCUUCCAGGGGAGGGACGGAGCUGCCCCCGCCCCCUCUCUCAUCUGGAGAGAACUAACCCCCCAUCCAUGCCAGGGCUGGGGAGCGAGCCCGACACCCGGGCUGGAGAUACCUUUCCCCAUCCUUCCCCUCUCCUGUGAGAUGCCAGGGCUGGAGGGAGCUGCUCCACCUCCUAGGAAGCGGCUGUUUUUGUCUGAGCAAGUGGGCAGCUUUAUGCUGUAUGAUCUGGAGUUUCCAUGCUGCUCUCGUGGUGUCCUGGAGUCAAUAGGAAAGGCAGAGCGCUGCCCCUGCUGCUGCACAUGCUGCUUUCUGUCACAUGCCGCUGUUACUGAGAUCAAGGAGAUCGGGUUUUACCCCCGGGUCCCUGGGUUUGUGUUCUGGAGUGCCAACACGUGGGUGGAUGUGGGGGAAGAACAGCCCCCCCUUCUCUCUCAUCGCCACAAAUUAAAAUCUGUCAGGAAGGAAAGAGGAUGAAUGUUGUGUGUACAGUCUAAAAGAGAAAAGGGGAAAUUUAUUUUUAAAAGGGAGGAGGGAGUUUUGAAGUCCUCUUUGCAGUCUUUGGCAGUGAAGAAAGCAGCAUGGUCAGCAAGUAGACACUUUAAAAUCCAAAUCCUUUUUGUGUAUCUUUAAAUCUCACUUGUUUCAGUAGCUCGGACUAGCAACCCUUAGCUCUCUUUACUUUCCAAAUGGUGCUCAGUUUUGUGUGUAUGUGCGUGUGGUAAAGGGGGCUAGUUUUCUGUUGUCCCUGAGAGGUAGGGGCUGAAGCUGUGUGUUGAGGAGGUGAGGGAGAGUGUUUCUUUCCAGUGGACACAUCGGGCAGGAUUAGAUGUGUGAAGGGACAGAUGCUGAAACUAAUGGCUUUUGUUCAGUAGCCAAGCGUUGCGCUGACAGAAGAGAUGAUCACUUUAGGGACAGUUUAGGAUUUGUAUAUUUUCCCUUCCUUUUAACCCCAGUUCCUGUGUCGUAACCAGAAUAAGCUUUUUAAAACUCAAGGGUCCUCCAGAGACCCCAGAAGCAAUGGGAAUAAAGACAAGGGACCUUUAGCAGCUGGGGUAGAUUCUGAACCCUGUGAGUGCAACAAAAGAGGGUAAACUGGUACUGUUCUUGCAGCUGAAAUGGAGAGACCCUGGCUUUCAAUUGAAAUACUUUUCGUUGUUGUUUUUUUAAAAAGGACUUUGUGUGUAAUUGUGCACAACUUCUUCAGCUGUUCAGUCACACAAGAGGGAAACUAUCUGAAAGCAGACCUGAAAUGUUUGGUGGACUGCCUUGGUUUUAAAAGGCCUUUUCAGUGAAUGCUGUUCUUAUAUAAGAGAAGCAGAUAUUCCUUUUCUUACAAACUCAUAAUUGCGAGUUUUCCCCCUCAAAGAAUCAGUGGAUAAUAAAAGCUUUGGGUCUUUAUAGAAUCAACAGUACUGAAUUACUGAACCCUUGUGAAUUGCUAUCUUCAGCUGUGUUUUUUUUUCCUUUUCUUUGCAGCCAUCCUGCAUGUCACCCUUUGUACUUUGGGCACCCUAUAAAUAAAAAGAGUAUUAUUGAGCUUAUUUAAAGAAACAGAAGGACCUACUGAAUGCACACAUGCCUCCCAGUAAUCAGCCCAAGGUUUGAAUACUGAAGAUUUGCACUUGGAUUUGCCCUUAUAUUUUCUGUGAAAAGAGAGGGUGACUCACAAAAGAGCUUUUAGGGUAGUUGUUUGUGAUUAGCUAUGAACCCAGCAGGAGAUUUUUUAGAUGAAAGCUUAUAUAUCUUAUUUCCAUCUGCACUUGCAUCUCUCUCCUACAGAUAUUACGCCUAUAUAGGAAAUGACCUUUUCUCAUCCUAAAAGACAUCACAGCUGAUUUAUGUAAUACUUGAUGAAUGAACGAAUAAAAGAGUUAAAGGGAGUUCUUGAGAUUGAAGAAAAUCCAUCCAAUCAGUAGGCUCUACAGAUAGAGGGCAACAUCAGGCUACCAUACCAAACAUGUGAGAGAGCCACAAGCCACAGGGGAGGGAUACAUUGUUAAAGACAGAACUUCAUGAGAUAAAAGCUUUACCUUCUGGGAGGUGGGAUGUAGAGCUUUUAUACUCUAUAUAAGGUUAAGGGGUUUUAAAAGUUAUUUCUGCCUGUUGCUGGAACAACCUUUACUGGGCAGCCUACACGUACAUAACAUAAUAGCUGGGAGUUAAAUCCUUGGUGAAGUCAGUUGUGUUUUGUGAUUGAGCAAUUAGUGGUGAUGAAAGACUUUUUUGUUUUUCUGUGUUUUUUUUAUAUAUAUAUUUUUUUAAAAAGCCUUUUCUUCAGACUAUAAAAUUCCUCAUUUUGUCAUUGUUCUUAUUAACCUUCAUUUUCAUGUUGUACCCCUGAACUGAGAUUUUCUGCAAAAUACCAAUUGGUUGGGAAUAUUCUGCUUGUAAAUGUUUUCCAGGAUGUGCAAGGCAAAAACAUUUAUGAUGCUCAAAUGUUGUUUGAAAUUGUUCUGAAAGAUUCUAAAAAUGUGACAUUUCUGAAAUUCUGCUGAUUUUUUUAAAAUAGUAAAAGUUAAAAAAAACAGGUAGCAUAAUGCUGCAUAAAGCAUUUAAGAUGAAAGAAGAAUAGGGUUUUUCCCUUUAAAAUAUAUAUAUUUUUCAAGUUUAGGAGCGAAUUCUGCAAAUCUGUACUUAAUUAUUUGCUUCUGGGGAACUGAGGCCCUGAAUCUUAAAGGAAUUUAAGCUCCUAACUUUCAUUGAUUGGUUAAAAGGGUGUGUUUGCCAUAUUGGGUUCAUAGUUUGCAGUGUAGCAACCCUUUGUUAUCAAACCGUCAUUCUAGAAAGAAGCAGGUGUUGAAUUUUUUUUUUUCAGAGCAGUUGUUUGAAAAUUGGACAGUCCUUUCUGCAGACUGAAUUCUUGGGUGAAUUCCUAUUUACAAAGGCCAUGACUAUUUAGAAUUACUUAAAUCUAACCUCAAAUCUUUAAGCAUUUCAUCUCCUUCUUUCCUGCAUAUGUCUGAAAAAUUCUUCCUUUGCACCCUGACAAAAUGAACAACACACCGUCUCAUUUUAGCUCGCAGAGGAAUUUCUCUUCCCUGUCACAGAAGCUGUGGAAGGUAUUUGAAGGAAGAAAAAAGCCUACUAAUACUAGCCCAACACUUCUUUUAAACUUUUUGCUAAAUGUAGAAGCUUACAAUGCAGCUUGGGUUUUUUUUGUUUUUUAAAUCAACAUAAAAAGAGUUGAAGAUGGAAAACUGAUUUCCAUUCUGAUUAGAGGUGGAGAAAAUCUAGAGAGAUCUCUUGCAUUUGCUUCAUGGAAAAGCCAAACAAUCAAACUAUUUUUGGAUUUACAUAUAAAUUUGUCCAAUUCUUAUCUCAAAUGCUGAAAGGCAAUCUGAAAUCCCCCCCUCCUUUUGCAUUGUUCAUUCAUUUGUGUUUAUAAGCUCACUUGAUUGAACUUCAGCUGCUUAUUGCCACUUGAAAUGUUAAUCCUCCUUGUCUCUUUUUAUCAGGCAUCUUCAUUUAAUGAUAGAAGCAAGCAUCCUACUGAUGCUGAAGAAAUUGUACCAGGAGCUUGGUUAACUUCUGCUGGCCAAGCAUUUUGAUGGUUAACACAGUAGAUUAAGGCAACUGUCAAAUGAACAGCAAGAUUCCUAAAUGGAAUAGUACUGAAAUGAGUAAUAGAGCAGGGCUAAUGAAAGCCAGUUUCUAUAUUUGAGCUGGUUAAGGAGGCAUUGGGUGAAAAGAACUGUGAUGUGUCAAAUACGUUUAACAAAGACUCUGGGGUGGUGGAAAUUGAUCUUCUCUAGAUGACAGCUUGAUGAUACAUGAAGCACUCUGUCAGCAAAAUAAGCUUUCCCUUUUGUUAUUGGUCUCAGCCACCAAUGGGUCAACAGAACUCCUUAGCAAUCUGUUCAUAUUGAUUCACUUUCAUGUAUGAUGUGCAAGAUAUGUUCACUGCACAACAACUCUGGGAAUUUAAAUCCGUAUGCUGCACCUCCUCUCCCUGAUAUGUGGGCCCAGACCUACCAUGCCUACUCAAACUUCAAUGGGAGCAUUGCCUGAGUGGAAGAAUGCAGUAUUGGACCCUAUGUUUGGAUAUGCACCCUUUGCCUCCACCCUCCUGCUGUAUGUUGUUUAAAAUAAUUUGUGGCUGAGUGGUUAAGCAAGAGCGAAGACUUCAUUCAAGCCCAUCACUUUUCUUUCUUCUGUAGAUGAUAAACUAGUUUGCAAUAUUGCAGUCAAUAGGUAGAACUUUUUCUGACUCGCAAAGCUGGCUGAGUGGUCAAGUGGAAGUUGUUGGAGGAUUAUGUCACAUACCAAGGACUAAUUUUAUGACAUUGAGGAAAUCAGACACUGAAGACUGUCGUGUGAUUCAAGGCUCCAGCACAACAGGCCAUCUUUCAAAGCAUUCUAGUUCAUGAGUUCGUGAGCACGGCCUUCUGAAACAACACGAGCCAAUGGACGUGGGUGUCAACAAAAUGUGACCGAUGAUGACAAACUGAGCACUUUCCAAGGCUUCCAUCUAUCAUGCAGCUGCUUUCAUCGCUUGCACACAAAGAGACUCAAGAAGGCAGAGUGGACCCUGCCUUUUCUCCAUCUCUCUCUCUGCCUCAUUGAUUCCAAGAAUUUGCUACUAAAAUGUAUUCAUUGACCAGACUGAGUGGGACCUGCUUCUCUUCUUGCUCACUUUAGUGAUUUCAGUGGAAUUACUUCAGAUGUCCUAUAAGUGAAGGGAGAAUCGGGCCUCAGGGCUUCAGAACAGCAGCAAAUCAUCAGGCCAGCCAUCACCUUUGGUUUGUAUAAUGGACAGCAGCAGCUUUUCAUAGAACAAUACAACAAUACGAGUGGUGGUGAAGGUGUGGUUGUGGUCUGCUAGAAUCCCCAGUGUUCUGCAUAAAUGAGCUAGAAGAGUUUUAUUUUUCAGCUUAAAACUAUGAGAAAUAUAUGGAAAUUGCCCUGUCUGUCCGCACUGUGUGUUUGAAAUACAAAAUGUGUCUUGACUAUAAUACCUCCCUAAAGGUCAAUAUAACUUAAGAAAUAAAUUUACUAGACUUUUGAAAAUAGGCUGAGGUUUUAGAUGUGGUAUGAGUACAUAUUGAUUUGCUGUAGAGUACGUGGGUCUCUGUUAGAGAAGUUUAAUUUUGCUUUAGCCCAGUUUAUGUAGCUCUGCAGAAUAGGUUCAUGGAAAUACUGAAUUAAAGUCAGAUACCAUUUCUUGCUGUGUAUUUUCAGUGAGAAAUGUCUACCUACAAAUUAUUUUUUCUUAAUUUCAGUUUGCUUUGAUUUGCCUAGUUUAUUUCCAUGUUCCCUGAAGCCCUCUGUACUACUGUAAAACCUUCAGAGUGUUUAAGAGACUAAUGUUGUAAGUGUCAUGAUGUUGAUUAGUUCAACUGAGAAGAAAGAGAAUGGCAAGCUUUAUAAUGUAGAGAGGGUACAGAUUGGGUUUUGUGGGCCUUUUGCAUACCUUAAUCUGUUUUAAGAACAUAUGUGUAUAUUUAAGAAUGUACCAUUAUGAUGGUACCUGAGUGCACUGAGUACCUCACAGUCUUUAUUCAUUCUC